rnacentral:rRNA from 1 species
CGUAGGUGGCAAGCGUUGUCCGGAUUUAUUGGGUUUAAAGGGUGCGUAGGCGGUCCCAUAAGUCAGUGGUGAAAUACUCUAGCUUAACUAGAGGGGUGCCAUUGAUACUGUUGGACUUGAGUAGAGUUGAAGUGGGCGGAAUUGACGGUGUAGCGGUGAAAUGCUUAGAUAUCGUCAAGAACACCGAUAGUGAAGACAGCUCACUAAGCUCAAACUGGCGCUGAGGCACGAAAGUGUGGGGAUCAAACAGGAUUAGAUACCCUGGUAGUCCACACUGUAAACGUUGAUUACUCGCUGUUGGCGAUACACAGCCAGCGGCCAAGCGCAAGCGAUAAGUAAUCCACCUGGGGAGUACGCCGGCAACGGUG